AGUCCUGGAGAAAAGGAAACAAUCGUGAAAAUGGUCAAUGACACAGUCAGACUAAAGCCAGCUUGAAAAGUUACAUUAGCACAUGCAUGAUGUCAUUGCAUUUUCUGUAAAGUAUCUGCAUAAUUUUUUUUUAAUCAAAUGUAAGGCUUUUUAAGACCUGCACAAAUAAAAAUUCAUACCGUAUGUUCAUACAUAUCUCCAAAUAAAUCAAAUUGUUUUACCUAAACAGGGGAACGGCAAGUUUAACGUGCCGUUUAUUUCACUGUUUACAUAUGCACUGAAGUUGGUUUAUGUACUAAUAUAUCAAACAAUAUGAAUUAGAGGGUGAUCAAUACCUCUGUUUUUGUUCAUGCAAUAGUAAUGUGUUUAAAGGGUAAUUAUACACUGAGCUGAUACUAGUAAAAUCUACAAUCCAAUUUCCGGAAAUGUUGGGAAGUUUAUAAAAUGAAAACUAAAAGACUUUCAAAUCACAUGAGCCAAUAUUUUAUUCACAAUAAAACAUGUUUAAACGGAGAGUUUUUACACUUUUAUCCACUAAAUGAGCUUAUUUCUAAUUUGAUGCCUGCUACAGGUCUCAAAAAGUUGGCACAGGGGCAACAAAGGGCUGAAAAAGCAAGACAUUUUGAAAAGAUUCAGCUGGGAGAACAUCUAGCAACUAAUUAAAUUAAGUGACAUCAGGUCUGUAACAUGAUUAGCUAUAAAAGGGAUGUGUUAGAGAGGCAGAGUCUCUCAGAAGUAAAGAUGGGUAGAGGCUCUCAUCAAAUUGCAAAGGCUUUGCGAAUCUCAUCAUCUACGGUGCAUAACAUCAUCAAAAGAUUCAGAGAAACUGGAGAAAUCUCUGUGCGUAAGGGACAAGGCUGAAGACCUUUGUUGGAUGCCCGUGGACUUCGGGCCCUCAGACGACACUGCAUCACUCAUCGGCAUGAUUCUGUCAUUGACAUUACUAAAUGGGCCCAGGAAUACUUCCAGAAACCACUGACGGUGAACACAAUCCGCCGUGCCAUCUGCAGAUGCCAACUAAAGCUCUAUCAUGCAAAAAGGAAGCCAUACGUGAACAUGGUCCAGAAGCGCCGUCGUGUGCUGUGGGCCAAGACUCAUUUAAAAUGGACUGUUUCAAAGUGGAAAAGAGUUCUAUGGUCAGACGAGUUUAAAUUUGACAUUCUUGUUGGAAAUCACUGACGCUGUGUCCUCUGAGCUAAAGAGGAGGAAGACCUUCCAGCGUGUCAUCAGCGUUCAGUUCAAAGGCCAGCAUCUCUGAUGGUAUGGGGGUGCAUAAGUGCAUACAGUAUGGGCAUCUUGCGUGUUUUGGAAGGCACUAUGAAUGCUGAAAGGUAUAUAAAGGUUUUAGAGCAACAUAUGCUCCCCUCCAGAAGACGUGUAUUUCAGCAGGACAAUAUAAAACCACAUACUGCAGCUAUUACAACAGCAUGGCUUCGUAGCAGAAGAGUCCGGGUGCUGAAUUGGCCUGCAGUCCAGAUCUUUCACCUUUAGAGAACAUUUGGCCCAUCAUUAAACGAAAAAUACAUCAAAGACGACCACAAACUCUUCAGCAGCUGGAAACCUAUAUCUGGCAAGAAUGGGACCAAAUUCCAACACCAAAACUCCAGAAACUCAUAACCUCGAUGCCCAGACGUCUUCAAACUGUUUUGUAAAGAAGAGGAGAUGCUACACCACAGUAAACAUGCCCCCGUCCCAACUAUUCUGAGACCUGUAGCAGGCAUCACAUUUGAAAUGAGCUCAUUUUGUGCAUAAAAUUGUAAAAUUUCUCAGUUUAAACAUUUGUUGUGUUAUCUAUGUUCCAUUGUGAAUAAAAUAUCGGCUCGUGAUUUUAAAUUCUUUUAGUUUUCAUUUUAUUCAAAUGUAAAAAAAGUCCCAACAUUUCCGAAAUUCGGGUUGUAUAUACUGAAUGUGAUCAAUAAUGGGGAACCCAGAGAGAAGCAAAAAGAGUUUCAAAUAAAUACCAUUAAAUGCAAGAUACAGUCUAUUGCAGGGGUCGGCAACCCAUGGCACGCAGAGGGAUAAUCGCUGGCACACAAGCAAUAUGGAAAACUGCAUACCGACGUACAUCAUGGGAUACCUGGAAUCAGCGCUGAAACCUAAAGAUGUCCGAGUUCCGCUCCCCGUGCAACUGAUACUCGACUGCCAUUGGCUAGUCUGCGUUUGAGGGGAGGGGCUUACGAUAGGUCAAUUGAGAUGACCAAUCAAAUCCAAGUAGGCGGGGUUUGAUCGUGUUAGUAUCAUUGCUGUCUAUGGGAGGAUCAGAGAGCUCUCGGAUUUCAUCAGAAAUAUCUUAAUUUGUGUUCUGAAGAUGAACGAAGGUCUUACGGGUUUGGAACGACAUGAGGCAGGGUCUGGGAUCAGAGAUGAUCUCUCACCUGCAGUGCUGCUGAGGUCCGUCAGAUGAGUGUGCUGUGAACAUCGAUCCUGAUGCUCGUCCUGAGAAACUUCUGGAAGCAUCUGCCCUUCAGAGGCUGAAAAACCAACACAAUAUAAUCGAUGAGCCCACGCUGACCGGCGGUGAUUGAGAGAUUUUGGGCCGAUCCGGUGACGACGGACUCAAAUGAAGCAGAUUCCUGAGCUGUGAUGGAAACACGUUUGACAAAAGUUGCCGUGAGGAACUUGCAGCUGCUGUGUAUCAUGUGAUAUGACGGUAGUUUUCUCAAAUUAAACUGUAAAAUGCUAAUAAAAUGACUCUCAGAGCAGCAGUGUGUUAAUAUCAUCAUAUAGUGAGACGGCAGAUAAUCAUAAAGUGUCCAUUUGUCAUGUCCAUGU